AUUGAACGCUGGCGGCAGGCCUAACACAUGCAAGUCGAGCGAGCGGCGGACGGGUGAGUAAUGUAUGGGAAACUGACUGAUGGAGGGGGAUAACUACUGGAAACGGUAGCUAAUACCGCAUACCCUCAGAUGUGCCCAGCUGGGAUUAGCUAGUAGGUGGGGUAACGGCUCAACUAGGCGACGAUCCCUAGCUGGUCUGAGAUGAUGACCCGGGAGCCGGGAACUGAGGCACGGUCCAGACCCCUACCGGAGGGAGCAGUGGGGAACAUUGCAUAAUUGGCUCAAUCCUGAUGCAGCCAUUCCGCGUGUGUUAAGAAGGCCUUCGGGUUGUAAAGCACUUUCAGCCGCGAGGCGUUGCCCGCAGAAGAAGCACCGGCUAACUCCGUGCCAGCAGCCGCGGUAAUUC
rnacentral:rRNA from 1 species